UACGUAGGUGACAAGCGUUGUCCGGAUUUACUGGGCGUAAAGAGCGCGCAGGCGGUCGUUCAAGUCGAGUGUGAAAGCCCCCGGCUCAACUGGGGAGGGUCACUCGAUACUGAUCGACUCGAAGGCAGGAGAGGGAAGUGGAAUUCCCGGUGUAGUGGUGAAAUGCGUAGAUAUCCGGAGGAACACCAAUGGCGAAGGCAGUGUCCUGGGAAGUACCUGAACGCUCAGGUGCGAAAGCUAGGGAGCGAACGAGGA
rnacentral:rRNA from 1 species